rnacentral:lncRNA from 1 species
GUUUUCCAAUGUUUGGACGUGUAACCCUAAUGGGAAAAUAUAUUAAAUUCACCAUCUAUACUAUUAAACGAGAAGACCUCAUUUUGUGUGUCGCUUCUCUUCCUUCCACAAUAAAUCAAUCAUCAUGCCUCUGUGUCCUAUAGGUAACAUGCAUAGUCGCAUUUGUCAUCCACUCUUAUGAUUAUUCAGAUUGAGUUAUUUUGGGAGAAACACGACAAAAAAGGAGUCCGGAUAUGAUUCCGUCAUCAGACUGAAUUUUAGUCAUAGAUAAGACUUCCGGUUUAAAACAUGCACAAAUACAACCAAUCGUAUGAUAGAUAACAAAAAUGAAAAAUAAAUAAGCCUAUCAGAGCGUUCUCAAUAUCAUGGUGUUUAGAUCGCAAGAACCACA